UUUACUUGCAUAUAUUAGGUUACGUGUGACAUCAACGGCUUGAAAAAGAAGAUUAAAAGUGCAUUUGUUAGUAGAGAACAAGAACCAGAAGUUAUGAUGCUUCAGCAAUGUUAGUUGCAACAACCACUUUUCUUUUACCAGGAGGCGUAGGCUUGAAAAUCAUGGAUUGCAUUUCACUAAGGAGUGCACUAUAAACCGGUAAAAUUAUAAGUUCGGGUACGCUUUUACCUAAUCCUUUCACUCUCUCAUAGAGACACUAGCAAGCAUGAUAAAUUUAUUCUUGACUUGUUAAAAAAAACAAGGAUGUCACCUUCAGGUGGUUCUGUUAAACUGGAUUUGCAUUUCAGUAAUAACUGCAGCAUCAAGGUAGCCACUUUUGAGUUGUUUGGUACCCCAAAACUGCAUGAGCAAUCAGUCAAAAGUAAGCUAACAACUGUUCGAAACAACACAAGUACAGAUCUUCCUUUCAACCUCUACAAAAACAUGAAAUUAAGCAGCAAAAUACGUUUAAAUUGAAGUAAUUAAAGUGAUCGAUCGUACAUUUUAAGCUGAUGCGUGUGUGUGCUCAGGAGACUAUCAAAACAGGUGUAAGAGUUUGAAAGAAGAAAAGAGGGAGAUCGAAGAGGAGAAAGAAAGAGUGGGAGCUGGAUCUUAGCUAGAUGGGAGCUGAGCUUAGAGAGAGAGAGAGAGUUCAGACAAAGGCGGAGAAAGUGAAGAAGCGAGAUUAGUGAUGGUGUUGAGCCGGCCGUCGGAUAUAUCUAUAUCGCUCCCUAUGCAUUAUUCACACUUUUGAGUUUUGCCAUUGUGUAUGUGAUGCGGACUAUCAAGUUUCAUAUUAGCUAUUGUAUAGUUUCAAUAUACAACUUUUUCUCCUCUACGGUGAAACCAAACGUGUAACAGUAAGCAUAAACGUUCUGUGUUGGCAGGUUCCAAUGUGAUUGAAUCUGAGAAACAUAUUUUGCGUAUGGCGAAACAAAUAAGAUGUUCGUGUUUCCCAUUCUAAAUAAAUUUCUGCACAUUAGACGUAUAGUCAUUGCAUACGUUAAGUUAUUUCCUUCAAAUUUCGUUCGUGUCCUUUUUUCUGCAGACCCAACAUUAUUAGUUGAUGUUCCAAGAGAUAAUAACAUAACAGCCGAAGCCGAAGUUAUGAAGUCCUUAACAUUCCCAAGGGGGUAAAGCGUGUGCUUUUCAGAACAUUGAACACCAAUAGGAGGUUAUUGUGGAAAAAAAAUUUGACACAAGCUAUGUUGGAUUUAUGAAGGAUGGAGCCCAGGGCUCAAGGAUUUAUCAAAAUCCUUAUAAGGGUCUAGAUUAGCCAAGAGAUUGAUAGUUGACUCCACAUACAAUAAUAUGUUCUAGCACUUGUGUUAUUAAUAAUAUCAAAAAGGCAUACUGAGGAUCAUUGUAUUAUUAAUAAUAUAUCAAUUAUUAUGUGUCUUGAACUGGUGUUGUGGAUCAUUUUUAAAAGAAUAUGUUGCUAGAGAUGGUAUUUGGAUUUGCUCAUUCUGCUUGAACAGAUAAUCAAACAUCAUAAUUGUCAAAUUUAUUUGAACAUGAAAUAUAACAAUUUAUUCUCUAUAUUUAAUAAUAAUAGUAAUGAUAACAUAGGCGGUUCGGUUUUAGUCUGAGAGUUGACCCGAAACAAGCCGUUUUUAUUAUUUUGGUCGAAGUGAACCGAACAUGUGUUGGUAUCGUUUCGGUCAUGUAGCUUUUUUUGUGUUCUCUUUCACAUGUUGAUAUCGUUUCGGUCAUAUAACUUUUUUGUGUUUUCUCUUUUAGUUGUUAAU